rnacentral:rRNA from 1 species
ACUCCUACGGGAGGCAGCAGUGGGGAAUCUUGCGCAAUGGGCGAAAGCCUGACGCAGCAACGCCGCGUGCGGGAUGAAGGCCUUCGGGUUGUAAACCGCUUUUACCAGGAAGGAAAAUGACAGUACCUGGAGAAUAAGGUGCGGCCAACUACGUGCCAGCAGCCGCGGUAAUAC